CAUUGUAGGCUUUGGAAACUGUUUAACUNGAGUGCAGAAGGGGAGAGUGGAAUUCCAUGUGUAGCGGUGAAAUGCGUAGAUAUAUGGAGGAACACCGGUGGCGAAAGCGGCUCUCUGGUCUGUAACUGACGCUGAGGCUCGAAAGCGUGGGGAGCGAACAGGAUUAGAUACCCUGGUAGUNCACGCCGUAAACGAUGAGUGCUAGGUGUUAGGUCCUUUCCGGGACUUAGUGCCGCAGCUAACGCAUUAAGCACUCCGCCUGGGGAGUACGACCGCAAGGUUGAAACUCAAAGGAAUUGACGGGGGCCCGCACAAGCGGUGGAGCAUGUGGUUUAAUUCGAAGCAACGCGAAGAACCUUACCAGGUCUUGACAUCCCGAUGCCCGCUCUAGAGAUAGAGCUUUACUUCGGUACAUCGGUGACAGGUGGUGCAUGGUUGUCGUCAGCUCGUGUCGUGAGAUGUUGGGUUAAGUCCCGCAACGAGCGCAACCCUUAUUGUUAGUUGCCAUCAUUCAGUUGGGCACUCUAGCGAGACUGCCGGUAAUAAACCGGAGGAAGGUGGGGAUGACGUCAAAUCAUCAUGCCCCUUAUGACCUGGGCUACACACGUGCUACAAUGGCUGGUACAACGAGUCGCAAGCCGGUGACGGCAAGCUAAUCUCUGAAAGCCAGUCUCAGUUCGGAUUGUAGGCUGCAACUCGCCUACAUGAAGUCGGAAUCGCUAGUAAUCGCGGAUCAGCACGCCGCGGUGAAUACGUUCCCGGGCCUUGUACACACCGCCC
rnacentral:rRNA from 1 species